GUUUAACUGGCAUUUAUUUCAUCGAUUCUAAAAGGAUGAAAGGCAAAAUCGAUCUCAGCGGAAUUUGAACUCAAAACGCAAAGACGGGCAAAAUGCAGUAAUCGUCUAGUUAAACUUCUUCGCUGCGCAGCUAACUGUGAUCAGAAACAUAACAGAAAUUGAAGAAGAGACAUGAUCUUGGCUUGUAGAUGAUAGAACUGAAUACAGCAAUGCAAACAAGUGAAUAAUUAGUUAAAUAAAUGGUAAAUGGACCAAAAUACACUUAAGACAUUCCAUGGUAUUCAUCAAAACGCCUACGCUAUUUGGUAAUAUUCCUGCCUUGUUAGUUGCACAUAGAUUGCAGCGUUCGGUAGUAACGGGGAUUAUCAGUCUAAAUGAAUUUCUGAACGUAAGUAAUUCUCUUUUGUUCUUCUCUCUCUCUCUUUCUUGUUUACACACACACACUCACGUAUUAACAAUGUAUUUUUCCGCGUUUUAUUUCUGUCACUUCCAAACAUAUAUACAUCUACGUAAGUAGCAAGCAAUCUCCUUCUCUUUCUGAAACACGCACACACAUAUAUGCGCACAUAAAUGCGCAUAUACACUCUCACUCACAUGCACACACACAUACUGUCAUACAAGCACGUAAAAUUCUCUGCCUUACAUUUUGACGCACGGAAACAAUCUUUUCUCUCUCACACACAAACUUAUAUACAAUAUCAUAACCCAUUUUGUAAUUAUUAUUCGGCCGUCAGGCUUGUUUCAUUGUACAAAUGUGUCUAUGCCUAGGAACAUACUUGUUUACAUUUUAAUCAAUAGCUUUCAGGUGCUAUCAUCGCCAGCAGAAGUGGGGACAGUUGAAAUUCCUGAUGAAUGGUUAAAUAAUAAUGAAGCCCGUGGUUUUUUUUUUCGUUAUCCUAAGCUGCCAAAAGCGACCACAUGAGAUUAAUUUCAAACAAAACGACUUUAAAUAAAGGGCAGCAAGAUAGUAUAUAUAUAUAUAUAUAUAUAUAUAUAUAUAUAUAUAUAUAGGUAUGUAGGUAGGUAGAUAGAUAGAUAGGUAGAUAGAUAGGUAGGCAGAUAGAUAGGUAGGUAGAUAGAUAGGUAGAUAAAUAGACAGAUAUGCGUUGAAAAUCAACGACAAGGAUAGAAGUCUCAGAGACGAAGUGGAAACAAUGUUUGACGCUCAAUGAGGGAUUAAGAAAGUCUUUGACGUUUCGAGUUUAAGUUCUUCUUCAGAAAGUUAGGAAGAAAAAUGUAGACGAAAGAAAAAAGUCGGGAGUGACGGAGAAAUAUGUAUUGGUGUGUGUUAGGCCAGAUUGUCCGCGCGCGUGCGUGAUUAUGAGAGAGAGAGAGAGAGAGAGAGAGAGAGAAAGAGAAAGAGAGAGUCCACGUGAAUGCGUAUAUGUUGGUCUGUGUGCGAGUGGACACACAAUGAAAAGAGUACUGAAUACGUCAUAUAGGGUAAAUAAUUAUAGCUAAAGACUCCAGGAUUAUUAAGCAGAAUUACAUAGACCCAAUAUGACCGUAUAGAGACCUUGGUCGUGUUUUAGCUAUAAGGUAUGAAUGUGGUUGUAUGAAUUGCGGUUUAAGAUCUGAUAUAUUAUGUUACAUGACGUCAGAAUAGAUAUUAAAUCACAAAUUCAAAGACAAAUUGCAAUUGACCGCACAGAAACACUUAUAUUACUAAUGCUAAAAUUAGAAACAGCAAACUAGUAGGACAUCAAUAUUUGUCAAUAGAUUGUAUAGUUUUAGAUUCUCAUAAAAAUGAAGAUUGAAAGCUUAGAAAAACCUGAAGUACAGCAUCACAAAAAUUCUGGCUACAAUUCUAUUCAAGCAUUGGUAAGACGCGAAGCAGAACGUCAAGGAUUCUGGUUUGAAUUCUGUUCAAGCUGAAAACUGCACAGUGAAAUCAAACUGUUCUCACAUCAAGGUCCCAGGUCGCUCGCCGCAGAACUCUCCUCCCUGGGACUUAGCGGGUCAAAACUUCUCAUUUUAUAGCUGAUGAACAGACGCUAGGCUAGUCCAUCAUGUUAAAGGGGUGGACGGUCCAAGUAAAACUAAAUGGAUUCAGCCAUCACGGGGUGAACCAAAAUGGAUAGUUAAAAGUAAAAAGCACAAUGUGGGCGGCUAGAGUUCAAGAGUGAUCAUGCUUCUGCUAUUGCGUCUUAUUUGAAAGACUUAGGGAUAUCGCAGGAUACUCUGUAUUUCUGCUGCUAUGUAAUAUAAUGAAAGUAACACCAGUCAGAGAAGAAUAGUCAAUUUACUUGAUUCCAGUGGAUUACGGAUACUUUGUAAACUACUUUUGGAAAUGAAUGGAAACCGGAUCGCAGAUUCAUCUUGGUACCUCCUCCACAGAUUGUUUGUUCCUUCUCGAGCAAUGCCUGGCGUAUAGGUUCCCCACCUGGACGGGACUCCGGUCCGUCGAAGGUGAGCUGCAAGAUGCAGGAGGAAAGAGUGAGAGAAAGUUGUGGCGAAAGAGUCAGCAGAAGUUUGCCAUUACCUUCAGCCGUAGACGCGU
rnacentral:lncRNA from 1 species